GUGCUUGCUUCGGCAGCACAUAUACUAAAAUUGGAAUGAUACAGAGAAGAUUAGCAUGGCCCCUGCACAAGGAUGACACGCAAAAAAUUGUAGACUUCUAGGGUUAG